rnacentral:lncRNA from 1 species
GUGAUCUCAGCCGCUUUGAGGUCAAUGGUAGAAUAGGAAAUAUCUUCCUAUAGAAAGUAGACAGAAUGAUUCUCAUAAACUCCUUUGUGAUGUGUGCGUUCAACUCACAGAGUUUAACCUUUCUUUUCAUAGAGCAGUUAGGAAACACUCUGUUUGUAAAGUCUGCAAGUGGAUAUUCAGACCUCCUUGAGGCCUUCGUUGGAAACGGGAUUUCUUCAUAUUCUGCUAGACAGAAGAAUUCUCAGUAACUUCCUUGUGUUGUGUGUUUUCAACUCACAGAGUUGAACGAUCCUUUACACAGAGCAGACUUGAAACACUCUUUUUUUGGAAUUUGAAAGUGGAGAUUUCAGCCGCUUUGAGGUCAAUGGUAGAAUAGGAAAUAUCUUCCUAUAGAAACUAGACAGAAUGAUUCUCAGAAUCUCCUUUGUGAUGUGUGCGUUCAACUCUCAGAGUUUAACUUUUCUUUUCAUUCAGCGGUUUGGAAACACUCUGUUUGUUAAGUCUGCACGUGGAUAUUUUGACCACUUAGAGGCCUUCGUUGGAAACGGGUAUUUUUCAUGUAAGGCUAGACAGAAGAAUUCCCAGUAACUUCCUUGUGUUGUGUGCAUUCAACUCACAGAGUUGAACGUUCCCUUAGACAGAGCAGAUUUGAAACACUCUAUUUGUGCAAUUGGCAAGUGUAGAUUU